rnacentral:rRNA from 1 species
UACAGAGGUGGCAAGCGUUGUUCGGAAUUACUGGGCGUAAAGGGCGCGUAGGCGGUUCGUUAAGUCCUGUGUGAAAUCCCCCGGCUCAACUGGGGAACUGCACAGGAAACUAGCGGGCUUGAGUUCGGGAGAGGGAAGCGGAAUUCCGGGUGUAGCGGUGAAAUGCGUAGAUAUCCGGAGGAACACCGGUGGCGAAGGCGGCUUCCUGGACCGACACUGACGGCUGAGGCGCGAAAGCUAGGGGAGCAAACGGG